AGAUGAUUCUUUCGACGUUACGCGUGACUUGAAUUAUGGUCCUCAGGUUUAUUCGCAAAUGUGAGUCACGGCACAGUACCAUUUUACUUGAUAUUAGAACGAGAACGGGAGGUGCAGUGCGCACGCACAAGGAAACAAAUUACGGGAGAGGGAAGAAAGGAGAAGGAGUUUAUGUAUUUGCAGCGCGAAAUGAAACAGGUGCAAUCAUACCAGCACUAAUGCAACGGAU
rnacentral:lncRNA from 1 species